AGGUUCCAGGAGAGCCAUAUGAUGAAAAGAGUUUUUAUCCGCUAAAACUGCAGGGAGCAGUGCACCAUGGAUCCGAAAGAGAUUUUAAGAGUUCUGUUUGUGCUGGUUUUCCUUCAGUGCCCUCUAGGGAAAACUCUCUGGGAAGAAAAUUGGCACUUGAGCCUGACAGGAUAGUGGGAAGAUCUUUGUUCAACUUCAUAGACUGUGUUGAACUAUUUUGGGGCUUUAAGGAAAUCCAGCUGGAAGGAAGCAAGCCAGGAUCCCCUGUCAGGAAAUGCAGCUGUUUCUACACCAUAGCAGCACUGAGUAUCUGCAACGGAGACCGUCUGGACUGCAAAGCCCUGAAUAUCUACUUUGCAGAAAAGGUUUGUUGAUGCCUAAUUGCCCACACCAGUUUGCCUCCAGAGGACGAGAGAGAAAGCGUGGUAGAUGGUGGAUCGGAGGGGGCGAAUGGAAGCUCUCUAGCGCCUUGGGAAUGAGCGUGGGCCUGUUGCAGUAAAAGAAAGUCGGCCAGCCCCCCUCUCGGCCACCUCGGCUGCAAAGACACAUGAAGCCUUCCUCCUCUGGGUCAUCAGUUCACACCCGCCAAGCCCGGGUCUGGCUCCCAGAGCCUGGGUUGGAGACAGUGACAGCUCUGCCCUCACCUGGGCCCCGCCAGCCUGCUGCGCUGGGGAGAAAAGUCAACACAACCGCUCCUGGGCCAGCUGCUUGGGCCGGUGGUGAAAAAUGUUGAAUAAUCAAAUUGCCCAUUUCUGCUCAAUUGCUCUAAUUUAUUAUCCCGGGCAUUCGGCAUGCAAAUGAAAACUACCCAUCAUCCCAGUCCAUGUCACUCUACUUUAUGAUCUUAUUAAAACCUCCGCGUUUCUUAGCCUGAUGACAACGAGUAGAGUUGGGGACAGCUGUCCUCAUGCCUCCAGUGUGGUUCAUACACCCGCCCUGUCAUCGCUAACGGCUGAAUGAUUUAGGCCAAAUGAGCCGCCUUGGAGUGAUAUUUUUAUACCCGUGACAGGAUUAUAUAACUUCGAGAAAGGCCAUUAACGAAUACAAAGGAAUAAGCAGGAGGGGGAAGCAGGUGACAAAUGGGCAAGUAAAUCUUUGGAUUUGACUCUUCGUAAUAAAAUGCCCUUCACAUUGAGAUUUAAUGAGCUGGUUAUCUCACCAAAAGGGAAGGGGGGAUCUGUAGCCAGAGCUUCGCAGCUUUCCUCAAGAUGGACCCAAUUACAAAGGGGCGACGCCGCAGACGACAGAUGCCCGGCGCUCGCUGGUGCAUGGUGACAUUGUAGCCCGAAAGCCGCCCCGUGGGAACAAUUAGUGGCCCUCAGAUCUCCUGACUGGGACCGUGAAGAGAACCCAGGAGUUCGUGUGCAUGACCCAAAUACGACACAGAGUUAAUGAACUGUUAGCUAUUUAGGCUUUUAGCAGUUUGUCAGUUCUUUGUAGCCACUUCAUUGAGAAUGGAAGUAGCAGUGUUUUGUUAGCACCAUAUGGUGGGAACUAUUUGACAGAGCGGUGGCCUAAAGCCAUAUCGCUGAGGGGCCAGAGGGGCUGGGAAGAGCCAAACCAAGAUUCUCCAUCGCAAUAUUUCAGUUUGGUAUUAACUAUGAAAACAUAGCACCUGAAAGCUUCCAGAAGAAAGGUAUCACUACCAUUUUCCACUCAAGAAAUACAUGCAUUUGGUUGCCUCUUGGAUGUGGUUUAUUCUUAAGAGAAACAUAAUACACUUGAUAGUUAUGCACACGUCUUAUCACUUCUCAGAGUUGAGUUUUUUAGUUGUAAAGCAAACAUUAGU